CAGUGGUGUGUUUGUCCCCAUUUUGCAGAUGAGGAAACUGAGGCUUGGAGAGACCCAGGUCCUUGCCCAGGCCCCACACUACACCCAGGAGGGGCGGCGCUGGAGUCCUGCACCACGUCGCUGUUCUCACCAGGAGGAAGCCCUUGUUUGCUGCGUCCAGCGACCCCAUCUCCAUGCUGCAGGCAGGAGGACACAGCCGGGGCUCCUGGAAGCCUCUCGCGUUCCUGGGCUAGGGGCCCUUCCUCCAUCUCAGAGCCGGCCAUGGGGUGUCCCCUGACCUUCCGCAGCCAUGUCCCCCUUCGAUGGAGUUCUGCUUCUGGCCCUCCCUCCACACUGAAGGCCCCUGUGAUCACAUGACCCACCUGCCAAUCCAGGUGGCCUCCCUCCAAGGUCAGCCGGUGAGCUGCCUUCAUGCCUGCAUGGUGUCUCUGACCCUUGGCCACGCAACCUAACAUAGUCACAGGUCCUGGAGAUUUGCACUGGGAUAUCUUGGGUGAGGGGAAUUAUUCUGCUGACCCCCGAUGGCAACUGGAGUGGUGGGAGGGGAAGAGAACACCAGGAUGUGUUCAGAGAGAGAGGCGUGGACCUCAGGGGGUGUCAGGGGAAGAGGGCCCGGGAGGGAGAAAGCAUUUGGUUUAGACGUAUUGGGUGUGAGGUGCCCAUGGGACAGCAGGGUGGAGCUGGUGGGAGAAGCUAGGGGGCUGCCCUGGGGCUCUAGCACAUGGAGGCCAAGGAGGGAGUCGUGGGGUGGAGGGGGCACAGGGCUUCCCAAGGUCCUGGGUCUGCCUCAGGGCCGCUGCUACUCCGCACCCCUCCUCCCAUGCCUGAGCACCCACGGCAGUGACCAGCAGUGACCAUCAUCACCCAAUGAGGAUGGAGAGAAACUGAGGCUGGCCUGAGAUGUCCUGGGGAAUGAGCUGGCACCGGAGUCCCACAGGUGAAGGCUGAUGAAAUUCUAGGAGAGUCAUGUCCUAAAGGAUAAGAAGCAACUAUUUGUUGAGAUGAGAGACUUCAAAGAUAGUCAAUGAUCGUGAAAGUCGGCCAGCCUUUCUGGAUCAUCUCGUGCAAUUGCUCUAAUCUAUCCCUGUAAUAGAUCCCUUUAAUACACUUUGUCACAUGUUGAAUUUUCUUUUUAGUUUUUAGUUUUCUUUUGUUGUUGUUGUUGUUGUUUUCCCAUUUUUUUAAAUUAUUAUUAUUUUGGAGACAGAGUCUCACUCUGUCACCCAGGCUGGAGUGCAGUGGUGUGAUCUCAGUUCACUACACCCUCCGCCUCCCAGGUUCAAGCAAUUCUCCUGCCUCAGCCUCCUGAGUAGCUGGGGCUACAGGCACCCGCCAUUAUGCCCGGCUAAUUUUUGUAUUUUUAGUAGAGACAGGGUUUCACCAUGUUGGCCAGGCUGGUCUCAAACUCCUGACCUCAAGUGAUCCGCCCACCUCAGCCUCCCAAACUGUUGGGAUUACAGGCAUGAGCCACCACACCCAGGCCCAUUGUUUUUAAUUAUCAACGUUAUUUUUUACAAUUUGUUAUUCUAUGUAUUUCAUCUUUGCAUGAUUUCCAGUAAGGGAGGUAUAAAUUGUGUAAAGACUUUGAGAGUUCUAAUUUGUUGUAUGCAUUUUUUACAAAUGUGACUCCAUGAAAAUGAUUAUCACAACAUUGACUUUAUGUGUAAGCAUUGUGUGUGUGUGUGUGUACAUAAAAUCGUCAAAACUUCCUCAAUAAAUGAAGAGAUGUC